rnacentral:misc_RNA from 1 species
GGAGCGCGGUCAGGUUCUGGCCAAGCCGGGCUCGAUCAAGCCGUUUAAGAAGUUCAAGGGCGAAGUUUACGUGCUGAGCAAGGAUGAGGGCGGCCGUCACACGCCGUUCUUCAAUGGCUACCGUCCGCAGUUCUACUUCCGCACCACGGACGUGACGGGUGUGGCGAAGCUCCCCGCCGGCUCCGAGAUGGUGAUGCCGGGCGACAACGUGCAGCUCGAGAUUGAGCUGAUCACGCCGGUCGCCAUGGACAAAGGUCUGCGCUUCGCUAUCCGCGAAGGCGGCCGCACGGUUGGCGCAGGCACGGUGUCGGAAAUCAUCGAGUAGGUUCGGA